AUGAACAAGCGGGCGCCCGAUGCGGAGCUGCGGCCUCCUCCCCCGGGGCAGGACGCGCCGCCACCCCGCUCAAGCAGCCAUCCGUGCGCGGCCGCUCCCCCGCCCCGGGCUCCUCCGGGAGCGGCAGGACGACGGCGCUGGCUGGACUUGGAGGCCCUGCUCAUCACAGUGCGCCUCCCUGCCUGCCUCCUCCCUUCCCCCCCUCCCCGCCGCAGUGGAGCGCGAUCCCUGCACACACACACACACGCACGCACGCACUCGGGGCGCUGCGGCUCGGCACACGGCAGCCGAGAGCCCGCGGCUCCGCUCGGCGCCCUACCUCAGCCCGGCACACCGCCGCGCCGCGCCAGCACGGGCACAGCAUCCCUGCCCCCUCCCCAGGGCCGCCGUGUCACUCAGCCGCGGGGCAGGCAGCCAGGCUCCCGCACGCACGCACUAGCGCACACGCACACAAGCGGUGCCUGCGGCUCGGCUCGCCCGCGCAGGCCGCCACAAAAGCCCACUCUGUGGCUGGCGGAGACGGCGCCUCCCGGUGGCCCCCGUCUGGGUCGGGCAUCCGCUGCCCUCGGCGGACCCCUGCGAAGGUGCCGGGGGUCGUUGCUGUGUGCGCUCCCCCCCGCUCCCCGCCCUGGCCGUCCGUUCGCAAGGCAGGUUCACGGUCAUUCUUGAUUACUGCAGUGGUAGGCUACGGCCUGUGACAGAGAACACAAACAGCAAUAUCCCAAGCAUGUCAGCAUCUCAGCGCAGUGUGACUGCAAUACAAAUGAUUUUUGGACUCAUGCUGUGACUGUUCAGGGGAAGAGCCUCUCCACCUCCACCACAGUAUCUUCACAGCGCUUACGAAUGGAGCUUUUCCAGAGGGUGAACAUCCUAGGUAAUCUCUGCUGUUUGAAUCAUUAGUCUUUGCCAAAUAUUUCUUGCUGCGAUAAGCUUUCAGUUUAAUUUGUGGACAGGAUCAUUCAUAUUCAAAGUUGCGGUAGCAGAGCUGUAUCCAAACUGGAUAAAUGCUGGUCCUUACUUCCACGGUACUACUGCAGUUUCAUGAUGCUGCUCUUCCCUGCCUGAAUUAGAGGGAGGAUUGAGUGCCAUAGUCCUCUGCUGGCACACCGGGAAUGUGCUCCAGGAAAACACGCAUCCCCCUGCUUCCCCAGUCUGCAUCUCAGCAUUGCCGAGACCAGCCCCGAGCUACACCAGGGUGACCCCCAGCCAGGGCUGGGGUGAGACCCGCUGAGCAGCGGGAGCCCCGGGCACAGGCUCUGGGCAGCUCGAGGUCUCCCUCUCCAGGAGCAAGGCUGUUGAAAAGGCAACAGCUGAGGCUGAUUGUCAGUUUGCCAGCUUCUUCAGAACGUAAAAUUGUUAAUCCGGCACUGAAGAAAAGCUUUCUGAUUGCAGCCACACGACUGUUAGGCAUUUGAGCAUUCAGGUUAAGCAGUUAGAGAGCAAAAAGUAGCGAGGAAACACUUAGAGACAGCCGAUCUCCCGGGGCUUCAGAGCCGAGGGGCUUCCCCUGACUCUUUGGAGCGAGUGCAUUUAUUAGCUGCUGGGGAACAGUGGUGACCACGUGACAGUAUUUGCCAGAAUUUGUCCCCGAUACCCUUCCCCGCGAGGCGGGGUGGCCCCUCCGCAGCGCUGUGCGGCGGGGGUUGGGCUGAGGGCUCGGCGGGUCCGUCGGUGGGGGCUGGCGUCCUGCCCGCGGCCACGGCAGCUCUGCCGCAGGGGCUGCUGCCUUUGCCGCUGCCACAGCCUGCUUACAUGCGAUGGGGCUGCAACUUACACCGCUAGAAAGAGGUGUUGCGUUAGUUACGAUUUCCACGGCUACUUAAUUUCCCUGGGAAGUGCGCGCUUCGAGCCCUGCGCCUAUAGCGGUGUCCACCUUUCUCCUUCAGCCCCGGCAGACGUUUCCCUCAGCUGGGUGACUACAGCUAGCGGGCACCCGGCGCGGACCGGGACAUUGGCAGCUGGGGUGGUCUGUCCCGUUCCUCCUCAUCUGCUUUCCUGCUGGUUCGACAGGCCGAGCUGAGGGACGCGCAGGCACAGUGACAAGCCCUACGGCUUUCCAGGGGCUCUUCCAGCGCAGCCAGGGGAACGGGCUCGUUGUGGGGGCCCUCCUCAAGGCCGCCGGUGUCUGUAGCCCGGAUGGCCCAGGGGCCGGGCUAUGUCUGGGCACUGGUGUCGCGCUGAAAGAUGAUUCAGCGAGGAGGGGCACCCGGGGCAGCCCGGCUGGGCCCCCGCCGCCGCGAACGGCUGGGGGUUCGGAGGCGGGAGGGAGCAGAGCCCCCGCACGGCCAGCGGGCCGCCACGGCGAGCCCGGCGGGGGAGGGGGCGACGGGUGUCCGCUAACGGCCCCGGCCCCGGCCCCGGCCCCGGCCCCGGCCCCGGCCCCGGCCCCGGCGGCGCGGCUGUGCCCCGUGCUGCCACCUGCCGGCGCCGCUGCCCUGCAAAGCCCCGCAGUGAAACCCCGGCACCCCCAGACCUUCCUCCCCACUCCCCUCCUUUCUGCGCUACGCAAAUUACCCCAUAUGAUCCGUUUUCCAAACCCGUCUGGGACCAGGCAUAUGCCAAGCACUCGCAUGACAUCCAGCAUGUUUUACUCUGCUUUGUAAGGUGAAUAUUAAUAAAGCAUGCUGCACGUUUAUCAGAGGAGAUUUUGGAAAAAAAAAUACGUCCAAGAGAAAUGGCAAUCAUGUUUUUACUUUGCAAGAGCUUGUUUCAGAAGUAAUUCCUCCAGUUUGUGGC
rnacentral:lncRNA from 1 species